GUUAUUUUGGCAGAAUAGUGCAUUAAAUUUAGAAUUUAUUUAAGUGGGUUUAUUCCUUCAUUUAACAC
rnacentral:tRNA from 1 species